GGAGUUGUAGCUCAGUGGUAGAGCACUUGCCUUGUAAGUGUGAGGCACUAGGUUCGAUCCUAGCACCA
rnacentral:tRNA from 1 species